GACGGAGGUGGAAGCUGGAGCCAGCGGCUACAGUGUCGCGGGCGGUGGGGACCAGGGCAUCUUUGUCAAGCAGGUGCUGAAGGACUCGUCAGCGGCCAAGCUCUUCAGCCUGAGAGAAGGGGAUCAACUACUCAGUACAACGAUAUUCUUCGACAACAUUAAAUAUGAAGAUGCUCUCAAAAUCCUUCAGUACUCAGAGCCCUACAAGGUUCAGUUCAAAAUCAGACGGAAGCUUCCUGCUGGAGCAGCCGAGGAUGAUGUGGCUGGCAGUGCUGAGCCUGGCCCAAGGGUCGGCGAGGACCAGGACCAGGAUGUCGCUGAUGGGUGCACGGAGACCCCCACGAAGACACCGCAGGGGGAUGGAGACCAGCAGAGGCUUCUCCCCACACCCAGG